rnacentral:rRNA from 1 species
UACGGAGGGGACUAGCGUUGUUCGGAAUUACUGGGCGUAAAGCGCACGUAGGCGGAUCUUUAAGUCAGGGGUGAAAUCCCGAGGCUCAACCUCGGAACUGCCUUUGAUACUGGGGAUCUCGAGUCCGGGAGAGGUGAGUGGAACUGCGAGUGUAGAGGUGAAAUUCGUAGAUAUUCGCAAGAACACCAGUGGCGAAGGCGGCUCACUGGCCCGGAACUGACGCUGAGGUGCGAAAGCGUGGGGAGCAAACAGGG